UUGAGGGAAGGAGAAGUACUCUAUUGCUGUAGUGCAGUGGUUCUCAACCUGUGGGCCCUAAAGUAUUUUGGCCUACAACUCCCAGAAAUCCCAGCCAGUUUACCAGCUGUUAGGAUUUCUGGGAGUUGAAGGCCAAAGACAUCUGGGGACCCACAGGCUGUAGUGACACCUGGAUAUUGUGCCCAAUUUGGGGCAUCAUUGUGCAAGGAUAUUGACCAUGUAGGACAUGUCCAGAGAAGGGCGGCCAAGAUGAGCAACGCACCACUUCGGAAAGUGUCAGAAGUUUGACUAGAAGAAUGGAUCCCCAGACAAGAGUGAGCAAAGCACCAGGUUAACAAAGCUCCCAAAAUGUGCAGGAGGACAUACAAGGCUCAUGGCCGCAUCAAUCCCUACAUGAGUUCUCCCUUCCACAUUGAAAUGAUCUUGACGGAGAAGGAACAGAUUGUCCUGAGACAGGAAGAGGAAGUUGUUCAGAAGAAGAAGAUAUCUCAAAAAAACCCUGAAAAAGGAGAAACUGAUGGCUCGGGAAUAAAUAUUCAGUUAACAAACACAAAUAAAAUUUGUGAACUUCAAAAAGAAAAA